rnacentral:rRNA from 1 species
UACUCCUACGGGAGGCAGCAGUGGGGAAUAUUGCACAAUGGAGGAAACUCUGAUGCAGCGACGCCGCGUGAGCGAAGAAGUAUUUCGGUAUGUAAAGCUCUAUCAGCAGGGAAGAUAAUGACGGUACCUGACUAAGAAGCUCCGGCUAAAUACGUGCCAGCAGCCGCGGUAAU